ACCAGACCCCUACGGGAGGCAGCAGUGGGGAAUAUUGCACAAUGGGGGAAACCCUGAUGCAGCAACGCCGCGUGGGUGAAGGAGCGUUUCGACGCGUAAAGCCCUGUCAGCGGGGAAGAAGAAAGACGGUACCCGACCAAGAAGCCCCGGCUAACUACGUGCCAGCAGCCGCGGUAAUACGUAGGGGGCGAGCGUUAUCCGGAUUUACUGGGUGUAAAGGGAGCGCAGGCGGCGUGGCAAGUCAGAUGUGAAAACCCGGGGCCCAACCCCGGGACUGCAUUUGAAACUGCCAUGCUGGAGUGCCGGAGAGGCAAGUGGAAUUCCUAGUGUAGCGGUGAAAUGCGUAGAUAUUAGGAGGAACACCAGUGGCGGAGGCGGCUUGCUGGACGGUAACUGACGCUGAGGCUCGAAAGCGUGGGGAGCAAACAGGAUUAGAUACCCGGGUAC
rnacentral:rRNA from 1 species